rnacentral:rRNA from 1 species
UGGGGGAUAUUGCACAAUGGGGGAAACCCUGAUGCAGCGACGCCGCGUGAGGGAAGAAGGUUUUCGGAUUGUAAACCUCUGUCUUUGGGGACGAUAAUGACGGUACCCAAGGAGGAAGCUCCGGCUAACUACGUACCAGCAGCCGCGGUAAUACGUAGGGAGCGAGCGUUGUCCGGAAUUACUGGGUGUAAAGGGAGCGUAGGCGGGGCUAUAAGUUAAAUGUGAAAUGUAUGGGCUCAACCCAUGAACUGCGUUUAAAACUAUAGUUCUUGAGUGAAGUAGAGGCAGAUGGAAUUCCUAGUGUAGCGGUGGAAUGCGUAGAUAUUAGGAGGAAUACCGGUGGCGAAGGCGGCCCCCUGGACGAAGACUGACGCUCAGGUGCGAAAGCGUGGGGAGCAAACAGG